rnacentral:rRNA from 1 species
CAGCAGCCGCGGUAAUACGAAGGGGGCUAGCGUUGCUCGGAAUGACUGGGCGUAAAGGGCGCGUAGGCGGCGAUCAAAGUCAGGCGUGAAAUUCCUGGGCUCAACCUGGGGGCUGCGCUUGAUACUUGGUUGCUUGAGUGGGGAAGCGGGUCGUGGAAUUCCCAGUGUAGAGGUGAAAUUCGUAGAUAUUGGGAAGAACACCGGUGGCGAAGGCGGCGACCUGGUCCUUGACUGACGCUGAGGCGCGAAAGCGUGGGGAGCAAACAGGAUUAGAUACCCCCGUAGUCCCUGUCUCUUAUAA